AAAUAUUUAAAAUGCAAUCUGAUGAGGUCGACUCCUAACCUCAUCACAAAGCGAUGUAACUACCCGCUGGCAAUGAAAAUUCCAUUUAACACAAUUUCACCAGUGCUAUACUAGAUAUAAGCCGGACUAGUACCAAAUGUGUCCCCAAGUAAUGCAAAGGUAACCAAUUGACACCUUUUCGUCCCCAAGUAAUGCAAAGAAGCGACAGUUGUGCAUAAAUAAAAACCACAACGAAAAAACCAAACGAACAUUUGAAUGAGAUCUCUACGAACAAGAACCACUUUGAAUAGUUCUUUUCAGAUUACCAAUAAAAAAAACAAUGCACCGUUAUUCUUGAGGAAUGCAAGUGCGUUUUGUUUGGAAAAAGCAUUCUUAUUCUGAUCGUUGUGAAGUGAAGUAUCAUUUUUCUGUGCAAAUAAGUUAUAAAGUGUUGAAAAUAACAAAUAAAAAGGUCAAAUCAAAAUUUUAGCUGAUGCUUUAGCUGAGUUGAAGGUGAUGGUGCUACGAUCUCAAAGUGAUGAGAUACCAUUAUCGAAUAGGUUCCCCAUCACUUAUGAAAAAUAUUGAGAAUCAAUACAUAUAUGUAAAGAUUAUAGCAUCAAUUAUAAAAGGAGAGGAAACAUCGAAAUGUUUAAAAAUGUUAUCGGUUCAAAUAUAACUACGAGUAUAAUAUUGAGGGAAACCAUGGAAAAAAGUUUGAAGUCCCUAAGUAAUAUAUACAGCGUUAUUUUAGAUUCAAUACCAGUUACAGAAUAUUCGGACACCCCUGAAACACAACUGCGAAAAGCAAUACAAGUGCUUUUAUAAAUAUUAAAUUAAAUUUAUUUUUGUUCAAGUUUUAUAGAGUAAGGUAUAUUUGUAUUCAUUUGUUUGCAAUAAAAAAUGAAUUAAAA